UCGGAAUUACUGGGCGUAAAGGGCUCGUAGGUGGCCAACUAAGUCAGACGUGAAAUCCCUCGGCUUAACCGAGGAACUGCGUCUGAUACUGGAUGGCUUGAGUUUGGGAGAGGAAUGCGGAAUUCCAGGUGUAGCGGUGAAAUGCGCAGAUAUCAGGAAGAACACCUAUGGCGAAGGCAGCUCUCUGGGACGGUACUGACGCUGAGACGCGAAAGCGUGGGGAGCGAACAGG
rnacentral:rRNA from 1 species